rnacentral:rRNA from 1 species
UACGUAGGGUGCGAGCGUUGUCCGGAAUUAUUGGGCGUAAAGAGCUCGUAGGCGGCUUGUCGCGUCGUCCGUGAAAACUCGGGGCUCAACCCCAAGCUUGCGGUCGAUACGGGCAGGCUAGAGUUCGGUAGGGGAGACUGGAAUUCCUGGUGUAGCGGUGAAAUGCGCAGAUAUCAGGAGGAACACCGGUGGCGAAGGCGGGUCUCUGGGCCGAUACUGACGCUGAGGAGCGAAAGCGUGGGGAGCGAACAGG